rnacentral:rRNA from 1 species
UACCAGGGAUGCAAGCGUUAUCCGGAAUUAUUGGGCGUAAAGCGUUUGUAGGCGGGCGAGUGUGUUUAAUGUUAAAUCUUAAAGCUCAACUUUGAAAUUGCGUUAAAAACUGCUUGUCCUGAGUAUGGUAGGGGUAAAGGGAAUUCCCAGUGUAGCGGUGAAAUGCGUAGAUAUUGGGAAGAACACUAAACAGCGAAGGCACUUUACUAGGCUAAUACUGACGCUGAGAAACGAAAGGUAAGGUAGCGAAACGGAUUAGAUACCCGUGUAGUCUUACCCGUAAACUAUGGACACUAAACGGUAAAUUUUUAAUUUACUGUUAAAGCUAACGCGUUAAGUGUCCCGCCUGGGGAGUAUGCUUGCAAAAGUGAAACUCAAAGGAAUUGACGGGGGCCCGCACAAGCGGUGGAGCAUGUGGUUUAAUUCGACGGUACACGAAGAACCUUACCAGGAUUUGACAUGCUAGAUAGUUGCUUGAAAGAGUAACGUGCCGUAAGGAAUCUAGACACAGGUGGUGCAUGGCUGUCGUCAGUUCGUGUUGUGAAAUGUUGGGUUAAGUCCCGCAACGAACGCAACCCUUGUCUUUAGUUAUUUUCUAAAGAGACUGCCUGUAAUAAACAGGAGGAAGGUAAGGAUGAGGUCAAGUCAUCAUGCCCCUUAUGUCCUGGGCUACACACGUGCUACAAUGGGAAAGACAAUGAGCUGCAAAUCUGUAAAUUUAAGCAAAUCUCUUAAACUUUCUCGUAGUUCGGAUUGUGGGCUGCAACUCGCCCACAUGAAGUUGGAAUCGCUAGUAAUCGCCAGUCAGCUAUAUGGCGGUGAAUCCGUUCCCGGGCCU